GGUACAACUUUUUACAUUUGAGUCUUCCGUGAUCAUACACAUUUAUGUCCAUGUACAUGUAUACGAAAAACUCUACCGUUUGGUAUAUAUAUAUAUAUACAUGUAUAUGCAUAUUUUAGCUCCAAGUCCAAGAACCUCUAUAACACCCGUGAUCACCCCAGGUUUUUAGUCAUGUUCGCGUUUAGCUCAUCCUUUAGUCUAUGUUGUGUUUGUGCAUUGUUGUUUGUAUUGGGGUCUUUUUUUUACCAUGACGUUUUCAGUUUUGUGCUGACUUAUAAGUUUGAAUGUUCCGUUAGUAUAUCCCGCAACCGUUUACAUCUCUAGGCUGAAAAGCUCACCCCCCCAAAAAAAAAUAAUUACGAAGCGAGUGAAAUAUUUUGGGUAUAGCGAAAUAAAUGUCUUGUGGGUCAUAAUUACAGAGUAAUCUUUGAAAUUAUAACAAGCCUCCUGCUGAAGUAAAUAUCAAAACAUUAAGUUAUUAUCUUAUAUGUAAAUCAAUUUCCUUUUUAAUGAGAAAUUAUCACAAACGAUUGUACGGUGUAUAUAUGUGGCUACUCGUAUUGUCUUCAAUAUCUGAAAAAUUCGGUCUG
rnacentral:lncRNA from 1 species